rnacentral:lncRNA from 1 species
UUUGAAAUGCUAAGAUAUGGCUGAUAAUAGGUACUCAGGAAACUAACAAAGCAGAAUCUUCAUACUAAAAAGAAAAAUGUUGCCUCAUUUUCUCCCUGUCUUCCUACUUACAUUUCCCACAGGUUAUUAUAUUUAUUUCUUCCUUUCAUCUGGUAAAUAAGAUGUAUAGCUAUAGCCUUCUAAUUAAAACAAGAUAGACUCUUUGAUCAACAGCACAUAGCACUUCUGAUAGCCCUGUAUGAUGCCCUUCCUAACACUGUUACAGAUUUUUGUAGGGAACUGAUUGGGAGAAACAAUGUUAAGUAAAAAAACUUAUUUAAAAAUACAUA